CUACCUGCUCCUGACCUAUGAUUGCUAGCUUGGCUUAGAGUUUUCUGAGGUCAUGGAAGAGAGCCAGCCCUCGCUUCAAGAGAUCCAUAUUGGGCUGCUUGUGGCCUGAGCGCCCUGGAGAUGGAAGCUGCUGGCUGCCCACUUUUGUUUUCACCUUGCAAUUACUGGAGGGAAGAGCUGCGCCCUGGACUCGACUCUCCGGCCGGCCGGCUGCACUCCCCGUCUCAGCCCAGGUGCCCUGUGGGAGGCCAAGUGUAAUUACUGCAAGAGAAACAGGUCUCAGCAGGCAAAAAGCUGACUCCUGUCCCUUCAACGCAAACAAAAACAAAAGACUAAGUGGGAAAAAUUCACGAUAGUGCCGAGGCUGCUUUUCAUCAGUAAUAAACAUUGGGCGUCACUAUUUCCCACUUUAUA